rnacentral:rRNA from 1 species
ACUGAACGCUGGCGGCAGGCCUAACACAUGCAAGUCGAACGAGUGGCGGACGGGUGAGUAAUGUCUGGGAAACUGCCUGACGGAGGGGGAUAACUACUGGAAACGGUAGCUAAUACCGCACACCAUCAGAAGUGCCCAGAUGGGUUUAGCUUGUUGGUUGGGUAACGGCUGACCAAGGCGACGAUCCCUAGCUGGUCUGAGAGGAGGACCAGGCACACUGGAACUGAGACAAGGCCCAGACUCCUACGGGAGGCAGCAGUGGGGAAUGUUGCACAAUGGGGUCAAGGCUGAUGCAGCCCUGCCGCGUGUAUGGAGAAGGCCUUCGGGUUGUAAAGUACUUUCAGCGGGAAGGCGUUACCCGAAGAAGAAGCACCGGCUAACUCCGUGCCAGCAGCCGCGGUAAUAC